ACGAACGCUGGCGGCGUGCUUAACACAUGCAAGUCGAACGGAAAGGCCCUGCUUUUGUGGGGUGCUCGAGUGGCGAACGGGUGAGUAACACGUGAGUAACCUGCCCUUGACUUUGGGAUAACUUCAGGAAACUGGGGCUAAUACCGGAUAGGAGCUCCUGCUGCAUGGUGGGGGUUGGAAAGUUUCGGCGGUUGGGGAUGGACUCGCGGCUUAUCAGCUUGUUGGUGGGGUAGUGGCUUACCACGGCUUUGACGGGUAGCCGGCCCGAGAGGGUGACCGGGCACCAUGGGACUACGAGCGGCCCCAGACGCGUACGGGAGGCAGCAGUGGGGAAUAUUGCACAAUGGCGGCAAGCCUGUUACAGCAAUCCCCGGAGCGGGAAGAUGGCUUACGGGUGAAGAACCGAUUUGGCCGUUACCAAAGCGGGAUUGACGGUAAGUGAUAAGAAAGCCCCGGCUAACUACGUG
rnacentral:rRNA from 1 species